UUAUCCCAUCAGGUACCCAUUUUCUGCUGGGUGAACAGAGGCAAGUUUGAACAAACCAACCUUGCCUAAGGUGAGACUUCAUGUAUCACAUGUUCUUUGAUAUGAAAUUCAUCACUAU